rnacentral:tRNA from 1 species
GGUUGUAGCUCAGUGGUAGAGCACUUGCCUGGCACGCAUGAGGCUCUGGGUUUAAUCCUCAGCACCA